AAAAUCCGUUGGUUUCACAAGACCGUGAGGGUUCAACUCCCUCUAUCCCUA
rnacentral:tRNA from 1 species